UCUAAUGAAAGCUGGAUUAUGAGGUUUGUUUUUCAGUCGAGCUUAUUAAGAGGAAAUAAAUCAUCAUCGUUUAGCAAAAACUCAAAAGCAGUUUUCUCGCUGAAAUCUCAACCAAUGGGUAUAAAAAUUUAUCACUGUACUCUGGCCACCAUCUGGAUAACAGUGAAAUAAUUUUCAAUGACGGUUUUGUGGCUUAGAGUAAGAAAACUGCCUUUGAAUAAUUGAUGAUUGCUGAUGACUGAAUGAUGGUUAUUUGAGCCUUAAUGCAAACAGGUACCAUAUACUAACAUUUUACCUUGUUUGAAUUUUUAGAUUUCAUACACUGAAAAAACUGCAAAUAUUGUAUGCAUGUGUCGCACACAUAGCUUUUUGCAAUAUUUUGGAGGUACACCAUUAAAAUAAGUCCUACAGUUCAGAACCCAAAAGAGCGACAUCAAAGGAACAAAUUUUUGGUUUUUUAAUGUUAUAAUUGGUUUGAUUGAGCACGAAUCACCAGUUAAUGCGGGCAAAUAUGCAUCGUAGAAUGUAAACCUAUUGAACGACCAAACCAUAAAAAUAAACUCAUUCAGUUUGAAAGGUAAAUGGUAAAUCAUGAGAAUUCCGAAAUUAUCGGAAACAUAAUUCCUAAAAACGUGAGCACCUAUAUAGGUGAACCGUCGAAAAUUGCUCCAAUAAGAUGAUCGAUUUAUUUUGUUAUCUGGAGAAAAUUGCUUUGUAUAUAUAAUAAUUGGUUACUACGAUUACAUUUUCUAUUGGAAGCCGAAGUGACUGGCGGUGCGAAAAUUGAUAUUUAACCUACUUAUAAACAUAGCAACUCGAUUUAGAUUAGUGCUAAUUUCAGCUCUUAAGUAGCUUAAUGAUGCGCAAUACCUGCAACCGGUUCAAAUUUACGUCACAACUGCAACUUUGCAUGUGCUUAAAUGCGUGACUUCGAUUUGGUACUGCGACGAUGAUGUAUGUAUUAAGAAUUUGAGAUAAUUAUAGGAUUACAACAUGAAAAACAAAACAAAGAAUGCAUAUUAAUAUUCUACUAUACUUUCAGCUAGUGCGGGUGCGAGUUUUGUGAACAAUAUGUAUUAAAUAUAAUUCAAAAACUGGAUAUUUUCAAAUUACUAUUUAGCUAAAACUAGUAUUACAAAUAUUGCUUUGGACAAGUGACGUUUUUUUGAAUUCGUGAUUUGAUUUAAAAAAAGUAUCAAUCCCUUCGAUAUAUAAAAAAACAAAAUCUAUAAAGCCAAACUGCUGAAAAUAUUCUGAACAAGAAACGAGUUCCAGCGAAGUUCGCUUGAAAAACAUAAAAUGAAAUAGUGUUUGUAUGACACUUGGACACUUUGGAUCGAAAACGAGUUAAUGGAUAUUGAUAUUUUUUUCGACAUAUUAGUUAAAAAAAUGUCUGAAUAAUAAUCUGAAUAUACAUACCUUUUGUAUGAGAUUCUUCUAUGAAAGGACAUGUCAAAAAAAAUCAGUAGGCAGUAUACAAUGUUUGGCAGUAUACAAAUGUUUUCAAUGACAGCUAGAUUGAAAACAUUUGAGAAGAGGAAAGCAAUUCAAUUAAUUCAUCAGCAAAGGUACAACCAUAAGUAACAGCCAAGUAAUUUACCAAAAUGCCGAGCAGAGAUGGAUGACCAAAUGGAUGACUGUACUACUAAUUCUGAUGUGAGACUGAAGCGAGACGUUCAUAAACUGAGGAGACUAUAAGCGAAAACAACGUGGAGUGACCUUGCUGCGGAUCUGGAGAAAAAACGAGAUGUGGUACCUUGUGGUAUGCACAUAAUAAAUUAUUGUGUUACUUCAUUACGUUUAGCGUGUAUGUUUACAUUGAGUAUCUGUCAUAUGUGGAGAUGUUGUUAUUGUUGUCUGGAGU